rnacentral:lncRNA from 1 species
GCACGCCUCCGCCGGAGACUCCGCCAAGUCUCCCGCCUCGCCCUCGCCUCCGGGAAGAACCGCCUGGCCCACGGCCGCCCGUCCCUUGGCCAGCCAGGCUCCGACUAACGCUGCAGAGGAAAAAACCUCCCCCAUAAGGAGUUAAAAGGCCAGCCUCAGCAGACAACGAGCGAAAACAGCGAGCAGUCAACGAGCACAAAAGGCACAGAUGACUGAGCUCAGAAAAUGCUGCCACUCCUCCCACCACCAAGGACGAGGAGCCCAUGAAAGCCCCCUACAGAAGUGCUCCUCACUUGCCCAGCUGAACCUGUCCAAGUCUUUCUUUGGAUGUACCAGAGAUCAAACCUGGGACCUCCUGCCUGGGAAGCCGGUGCUCAACCACUUGAGCUACAUCUGCUCCCAGUGGGUCAUGGUUUUGAGGCUGGAAGUCCAAACUCGAGGUGUCAGCAAGGCGAUGCUUCUUCCUGGGGGGCUGGCGUUCUGGACUGGCUGCCAGCAAUCUUUUGUCCUCAGCUUUUCUGUCUCAUGGCAAUGCACAUGGUGAUGUCUUCUCCUCGCUGAGUUCCAGUUUCUUGCUCUUCUGUGGCUUCUCUCCAUGGCCUUCUCUAUGAGACCCAUCCUGAGUCACUGGGCCACACCGUAACUAAAAGUAACCUCCCUGUAAAGGUCCUGUUCACAACGGGUUUGGGUUCACACGUCCCGGGAUGGGUUAAGAGUGACAGCAUGUUUUUCUUGGACGCAUAAUGCAGUCCCCACCACCCAGUGACACCCCAGAAUGCAGACUGUAGCCUCGACCUCUCCGCAGGACUCAGGCUUGGGCACUUACCUUAGCUCCCUCCUGCAGGCACCUCAAACCCUCCCCGCCCCCAGAUAGUCCCUUCCCACCUGCCUCAGUGAGAGCUGCCUUCCUCCCACCAGGCAGGCACUGUUACACCUGUUUCCAGGUGAGGAAGCAGGCUCAGAGCCGUUAAAGAACCUGCACAGACUGUAAGGAAGGAUCUGGAUUUGAACCCAGGACUCUGGCUUCAGUGCACAUUCUCUUCCGUGCUAAGUUAAAUGGCCCUGCAGGGAGCUGCCCUCAUGUCUCCUGCAUCCCUCCUUUUCUCUCGAAGCUGCUGUUAGAGCAUGUCACCUCCAGCCUGGGCUGCAGGAGGAGGCCUCCCUCGGCCCCCCUGCUUCUGCCAACUCCCUGUCUACCGGCAGCAGAGGGCUUUCUCUCACCCGUAUCUGACCUUGUCACUCUGCAGCUAAAGGCCCCCCAUGUCACCCUCCUUUGCCUUCUGGGCCAAGUCCAGCCCCUUUGACCCUGCAUAAAAACCCUUCAUCCUCUGCCCCCAAACCUCUGCCCCGCCCCCUGCCCCAGAGGCCUCCCAAUCCCAGGAGUCCCCACUGUCCCCUGAAUAGUCCGUGCUCACGCCUUCCACACUCUCUGGUCCUUCUGCCUGGGGUGCCCCUCCCUAGUCUCAGCCCAGCCAACUCAUACACAUCCCUCAAGGCCCAACUGGAGGAACACCUCCUCCAGAGGGCCUUCCCAGACUGCCCAGGUGGGACGAGUGGCUUCUUUUGGAGUCCUCUAUCACAGCCACGGCAGAGUCCUUGCCAAGCCACAUCACAAGUGGCAUUCUGCUUAUCCUGGCCUAGACAGCUGGGGUCAUAUAUCCUGUGUUUCAGGAUCUCAAGACGCAGCCAGGACUGAAGCCCCCUCUCAAUUAGAGGUGGGGUGGGCACCACCAUCCCAGGAUCCUCAGGAUUGGGGAAUGAACGAUGGACUAGGGUGGACUUAUGGGUGUUCUACUAUAGACUUACUGUGCUUCUAGCAGUGGAAGAACUUCCAUCACUGAUGUGGAGGCAGCGGCCACGGAGCUGCUGAGGGCGUGGAGAGGGAAAACGGGUGUAAUGCAGGGGCAUUUUCGGGACUUGGGAAUUGUCCUGAAUGACUUUGCAACCAGAUACAGGCCUUUAUAUAUCUUGCCACAAACUGUGGAAUUGUGCAGGAGAGAAUGUAAACUCUAAUCCACGCUUAGUGGCAAUGAUCCAAAAUGUGACCAUCAACUGCAGCGAAUGUACCACAGCAAUGAAGGACGUUGUUAACGUGGGUAAAUGUGCGUGGUGUGUGCAGGGCAUAUGGGAAUCCCCUCUAUUUUUUAUGUAACAUUUAUGUCAUCUAAGUCUCUUUAAAAAAUAAUAAUAAUAAAAGCCCCAGCCAGGGCAGGUGUCUAAAUGGUGGUCCGAGGGCGGCAUUCUCGUUAGGGCCACUCUGGCUUCUCUGGGUUAUCAGUCGUGUCUUCCCGGGUGUGUGUAUCAGCCAGGGCUCUCCAGAAAAUCAGAGCCGAUGGUGCCGUCGAAUCCCCCAGGAGAGGCUGCAAGUUGGGGAGUCCUAGGAGGUGACAGUGCCCUUCCCAGGAGAAGCUGCUGAAGUCCAGGCACAACGCCUUCCUUCCGACGGCUGAGCGCUCAGCUCUCCUUCUAAGGGCCUCAACAGACUGCACGAGGAGACUUCUCUCGUAGCCGAGGGCAAACUCCUGUGUCGAUGGUAGACGUGACCAGUCAUAGAUGCCACCAACUGAAGAAUGACAAUCUGCCACCUGCCCUCCCGGUAACCCUCAGGCCAGGGCUUGCCUGCCCCAACAGCCGGGCACCACAACCCCAGCCGACGCUGACCCUGACCCUCCCAGGGUCAACACGCCCCCUGGCUUCUGAGCAGGGGCCGGUCCCAGAUGCGGGAGCCAGGGGGUAGGAAGGGGUGCCCGGAAGGACAGAAAACCCUGGCUUUUCCCCGGGCAGUGCAGGAUGAGCGUGUGGGGAAGCAGACCCUGGCCGGGUUGCCAAAGCAACUCCCUGAUUGCUGAGGAGGGGCCACCCUGGGGCCACCCAGGGCAGAGGGUGCCAUGAAAGCCCAGCAGCGGGUGGAGGGGAGAGCAGUGGACGUCCCCACGGCCAGAUGUCCUCCCGGGAGCCCUGUGGGUCACGACCCCCAAGCCCCUGCCCGUCUGGGGCCGGUGUCACUUCCCCUGCCAAGUGGGGUCAACCAUAGCGGCCACCAGCUCACCGAGGCCCACGGCGCUGAGCCCUUUGAAAGAACAACUCCAUAAACCAGUGUCCAAGCGAUCGGGGUUGCUAUUAGGCCUGGGAGCCGGGUCAGAGGAAUACAAAGGGGCCGGAAGUGCCCAGGCCUCCUGCCCUGCGCCCCCGAGGAAAAGAGAAGCCGGCAGUGGGCAGGAAGAAUAGCACCCACAGGAAGGGGGCAGGGGGAGGCUGGGGCCUGGGGCCCCCAGGGACCGGCCACCCUCCCCGCACACCCCGGCUCCCCGUUUCUUCCCCUGCACGUGGGGGUGAGCACGAGACCUGCCCAGCUCCUUCCAAGGGCCCCCACGAGGUCCCAGUCAGACGGGGUGUGGCAGAGCUUUGCAAACUGUAAAGUACAGUGCACACCUGCAGACUAACCAGGGACCCAGGCCCAGCUGGGUUUUGGGGAGUGGACACUGUAGAGUGUUGGCGACAAAAACACUGUUGGAGGCCCAGAGCCUGGUCCUUGGAGCAGCCUCAGAUCCCCGUUGCCCUUUCUUCUUCCCUUCUCCCCUCCCGACACCCUCGGCUCUGGGGUCAGACUC